UUAUAUAAAAGGAGCCUCAAAGCUCCACUAGGAGAUCGGGGUGCGGAACAUUAGUUAGUUGGUGAGGUAAUGGCUCACCAAGACUAUGAUGUUUAACGGGGUUGAGAGACUGAUCCGUCACACUGGGACUGAGAUACGGCCCAGACUCCUACGGGAGGCAGCAGUAGGGAAUUUUCCACAAUGGGCGAAAGCCUGAUGGAGCGACACAGCGUGCAGGAUGAAGGCCUUCGGGUUGUAAACUGCUGUUAUUUAGGAUGAAAAAAUAGUAGAGGAAAUGCUAUUAUCUUGACAGUACUAAAUCAGAAAGCAACGGCUAACUAUGUGCCAGCAGCCGCGGUAAUACAUAGGUUGCAAGCGUUAUCCGGAAUUAUUGGGCGUAAAGCGUCUGUAGGUUGUUUGUUAAGUCUGGCGUCAAAACUUGGGGCUCAACCCCAAAUCGCGUUGGAUACUGACAAACUAGAAUUGUGUAGAGGUUAACGGAAUUCCUUGUGAAGCGGUGAAAUGCGUAGAUAUAAGGAAGAACAUCAACUUGGCGAAGGCAGUUAACUGGGCACAUAUUGACACUGAGAGACGAAAGCGUGGGGAGCAAACAGGAUUAGAUACCCUGGUAGUCCACGCCGUAAACGAUGAUGAUUAGCUGAUGGAAACCAUCGGCGCAGCUAACGCAUUAAAUCAUCCGCCUGAGUAGUAUGCUCGCA
rnacentral:rRNA from 1 species